AGACGGCGCGGGCGGCCCGGCGUCUCCUGUCUCUGGCAGGACUGUGAGGCGGCACUUAGCGCCCUGGUCGCUCGCGCCCCGCCGACGCCUCCUUUUUCUCUCCCUACCUCUGCGCUCUGCGGCCGCCGCUGAGAUCUGGGACGGCGGCACAUCCAGCCCGGGAGACGACUGGCUAGGAAAUAGAACUGUUAGUAUUUUGAAGCCCAGAUCCCCUUUCGUUUUGG
rnacentral:lncRNA from 1 species